rnacentral:rRNA from 1 species
CAGCAGCCGCGGGAAAACGGAGGGUGCAAGCGUUAAUCGGAAUUACUGGGCGUAAAGCGCACGCAGGCGGUCUGACAAGUCAGAUGUGAAAUCCCCGGGCUUAACCUGGGAACUGCAUUUGAAACUGUCAGGCUGGAGUCUUGUAGAGGGGGGUGGAAUUCCAGGUGUAGCGGUGAAAUGCGUAGAGAUCUGGAGGAAUACCGGUGGCGAAGGCGGCCCCCUGGACAAAGACUGACGCUCAGGUGCGAAAGCGUGGGGAGCAAACAGGAUUAGAUACCCGAGUAGUCCCUGUCUCUUAUAC